CGGGGUGCAGCAGGCGCGAAAACUUUACAAUGCUGGCAACAGCGAUAAGGGGACCUCGAGUGCCAGGAUACAAUCUUGGCUGUCGUGAUGCCUAAAAAGCAUUACAUAGCAAGGGCCGGGCAAGACCGGUGCCAGCCGCCGCGGUAACACCGGCGGCUCGAGUGGUAACCGCUAUUAUUGGGUCUAAAGGGUCUGUAGCCGGCCGGAUAAGUCUCUUGGGAAAUCCAGCAGCUCAACUGUUGGGCUUCCAGGGGAUACUGUUCGGCUCGAGGCCGGGAGAGGUGAGAGGUACUUCAGGGGUAGGGGUGAAAUCUUGUAAUCCUUGAAGGACCACCAGUGGCGAAGGCGUCUCACCAGAACGGUCCUGACGGCAAGGGACGAAAGCUAGGGGCACGAACCGGAUUAGAUACCCGGGUAGUCCUAGCCGUAAACGAUACUCGCUAGGUGUCGGCCACGGUGCGACCGUGGUCGGUGCCGUAGGGAAGCCGUGAAGCGAGCCACCUGGGAAGUACGGCCGCAAGGCUGAAACUUAAAGGAAUUGGCGGGGGAGCA
rnacentral:rRNA from 1 species